CGUGUAGGCGGCCAGACAGGUCCGUUGUGAAAACUGGAGGCUUAACCUCCAGACGUCGAUGGAAACCGUCUGGCUAGAGUCCGGAAGAGGAGAGUGGAAUUCCUGGUGUAGCGGUGAAAUGUGCAGAUAUCAGGAAGAACACCCGUGGCUAAGGCGGCUCUCUAGUACGGUACUGACGCUGAGACGCGAAAGCGUGGGAGCGAACA
rnacentral:rRNA from 1 species